UUACGGCCACAUCACGUUGAAACUCCGGUUUCCGUACGAUCAUCGAAGUUAAGCAACGUUGUGCCUGGUAAGUAGCUCGAUCGGUGGUCGCUUGGAAAUACCAGCUGCUGUAAG